GGGCGAUUAGCUCAGCGGGAGAGCACUGCCUUCACACGGCAGGGGUCGCAGGUUCAAGCCCUGCAUCGCCCACCA
rnacentral:tRNA from 1 species